rnacentral:lncRNA from 1 species
UACAUGGCGUCAUGGUGUGCGGGUAGAUGGGUGUGUAUGGCCUCUUUCGCUUGGUAUAGUAUCUUCAAGGUCCAUCCUUCUUACAGGACAUCUUUUCAUAACCAAAGACACUGAAUUUUACAGAACCAUCAUGACUUUCGGGGCUUUUCCACUUUUUGUUUCUUAUGAAAAAUGCUGCCGUGAGCAUUCAUGUAUUCUCUCUAUUGCUUUUUUUUUUUUUUUUCAGUACUAAAGGUCAAAUUCCAGGCCCAUGCUCGACAAUCAUUGUACUUCAGAGCUAUGUUUCCAAUCUUCUGUCUCUUUUGAAAUAGUAAUUUUGCUAGGAAAUGCUCCUACUCUUCUGACUGUCUCUCAAGUAUGAUGCCCACAACCCCAUAUUAUUAUUGUUGUUGUUGUUGUUGUAAUAUACUAGGUAUGGAGAUCAGUAAUUACAUACACACAGUGGUUCACAAAGCUAAUGUCUGGCUAUCCUCACCAAACACUUGUCUGGUUAAUGGCAUCUCGAUGACUUGGAUUAAAAGAUGACAAGGAGCCCUGCUGUCCUCCUGAGCUUACUUAGCCUGCUCUGUAUCAGGCUGUGCACUCUAUGGAGCAGUCAAAGAGCAAGACGUGGUCCCUGCCGCUCGACUGCUUGAAGAGACAGUUCACUUGGUCUUGGCGGCCAGAGCAGGAAACUGCAGCCCCAAAACAUUAAAGUUAGCCAAGGAAAGAGCCCGAUAAACACAAAACACAAAGGUCCAGAUGUGAUAGGAGGAGAGGGUAUAUCGAGGAAGCUGAACGGAAAAGGACCCCACUGUUAAAGGGUUGACUGCCCUUUGGGAAGCUCCCCGGCUCAAUGCAGGAUUAGACAGUCACUGAGUGCUUGGGCCUCCGAGGCAAACACAGAGAAAGGGAUUUGUGGGCUCUUUACCUCAAAGUCUUCAUUUCAGAAUUGAGUGUGCUUGUCUCUUAAUCACAGCUUUCAUUUGGUCCCAACUUAACUUCAUUUUUUGGUUUAUUGAGACAGGGUUUCUCUGUGUAGCCCUGGCUGUCCUGGAACUCACUCUGUAGACCAGGCUGGGCUUGAAUGCAUGUAUAUCCACCUGCCUCUGCCUCCCCAGUGCUGGAACUAAAGGCAUGUGCUACCACACUCAACAACUGACUAUGUUUUCAUUUGUUUUUAAAGAUUUAUUUAUUUUUAUUUUAUAUGCAUUAGUGUUUUGCCUGCCUGAAUGUCUGAAUGAAAAUGCCAGAUCCCCUAGAACUGGAGUUAGACAGUCAUGAGCUGCCAUGUGGAUGCUGGGAAUCGAACCUGGGUCCUCUGGAAGAGCAACCAGUACUCUUAACCACUGAGCCAUCUCUCCAGCCCCUUAAUGAUUUAAUUUAUUAUUGAACAAAUAUAUAAAUAAAAGUCCUUUGAUGUCUGAGGCCACAGAAUGUUAUUCAUGCUUAGUUCUUCACUAGCAAGGAUUAAAUAGUAAAGUUGGUGAGAUAUGGACAAAGGAAAAAAAUCAAUAUUUUAUAUAUGACAGUUUUAAUGAAUUACUUCUUCCAAAGAACAGGUACCAAAAAAUAACUUGAACUCCCAGCUGCUAUCUGUCAUCAGUAUGCUACUCUAUAUAUGAUAAGUUAUAUACCAUAUGUUAUGGAUACUGUAGCACUAUAUAGUUUUAAAACAAUGCUGCUUUUACCACAUAUAUAAUAUGUAUACUGUAGUACUAUAUAAUAUCUCUGUAUUUUGUGUAUUUUUACCAUAUAUGGGGGGGGGUUGUGUUGCUAGGGAUCAAGCCAAGGUCCUCUUGUACUCCACUUAAGCGCUCUGCCAUUGAGCUAACCUCCAGCCCUUACCACUAUACUGAUUAAGAGUGCUAACCCAAGGACACGUCAACCAAGAAGGCCCUUAACUGCUUUUGCUUUGGAAAUCUUUCUGUUUUCUCUUUGAGCUCAGGAAAGAACCAUGGAAGUAUGAAGAGUACGGUUCUGUGGGGCUGGGGAGAAGGCACAGUGGGUAAGAAUGCUUGCUGUGGAUGCAUGGAGACCUGAGUUCAAAUCCUAGCACCCACAUAUAAAGCUGGGUAUGCCCACAUGUGCCCGAAAACCCAACACUGGGAGGCUGAGACCAACGUCCCCGAAGCUUGCUGACCUGGUAGCCUAAACAAAGUGGCGAGUUUCAGGUUGGGUGAGAGAUCCUGUUUCAAGGGAAUAGGGGAGAAGGAGCAAUGGAAAGAGAUGAGAGUGGGGAGAGGGAGCAAGGGAAAGAGGGAGGAAGAGAGGGAGAGGGAAAGAAAGUAGAGAUAGAUACUGAGUGAGUGUGUAUGGGUACAUGCGCCCACAUUUACAAAAGCGUUCCACAUGAUAAGCAAUGUGAGUGCAAUGAGUAAUGACGAAUACAAGGCAGAGUAAGGUACUGUGCCCUUGAUGAACUUCCAGCUCAACUGGUAAUAUAGGAAGUGUCAGGGAGGAAGGCUGAAAGAGGAAGAUAUAGGAAGUGUCAGAGAGGAAGGCUGAAAGAGGAAGAUGGUCACCCCGCCACCUGCUGUUAAUGUUCAAGAUUCAUUCCUAUAUGAACUUGUGUUGGAGACUGGUUCUAAUGUUUUGAUUCAAUCGGAGAUCUGUGUGUCGAGACACUGAAGGUAUUUGUUCCCAAUUAGUUUUUGAUUGAUCAAUAAAGAUAUCAAUGGCCAAUGGCUGAGCACUUAGAAGAUGCAGAGGAACAAGACUUUCUCUGUGACUAGGGGAAGAAGGAUGUGAUGCAAUAGAGGCAGGAGCAAAAGCCAACCAGACAUGUGAGAUUUCAGGCAAAUCCACCUCUCACCCUGUGGUUCCAGAAAUCUAAUACAAGGUUCAGAUGCGAGGCUCUCUCAGAUGCAAAAAAGAGAAGAAGAAGAAGAAGAAGAAGAAGAAGAAGAAGAAGAAGAAGAAGAAGAAGAAGAAGAAGAAGAAGAAGAAGAAGAAGAAGAAGAGGAAGAAGAAGAAGAAGAAGAAGAAGAGGAAGAAGAGGAGGAAGAGGAGGAAGAGGAGGAAGAGGAGGAAGAGGAGGAAGAGGAGGAAGAGGAGGAAGAGGAGGAAGAGGAGGAAGAGGAGGAAGAGGAGGAAGAGGAGGAAGAGGAGGAAGAGGAGGAAGAGGAGGAAGAGGAGGAAGAGG